rnacentral:rRNA from 1 species
UACGAAGGGGGGCUAGCGUUGCUCGGAAUCACUGGGCGUAAAGCGCACGUAGGCGGAUUGUUAAGUCAGGGGGUGAAAUCCUGGAGCUCAACUCCAGAACUGCCUUUGAUACUGACGGUCUUGAGUUCGGGAGAGGUGAGUGGAACUGCGAGUGUAGAGGUGAAAUUCGUAGAUAUUCGCAAGAACACCAGUGGCGAAGGCGGCUCACUGGCCCGAUACUGACGCUGAGGUGCGAAAAGCGUGGGGAGCAAACAGG